UAACACGUGGGGAACCUGCCCCAUAGUCUGGGAUACCACUUGGAAACAGGUGCUAAUACCGGAUAAGAAAGCGGAUCGCAUGAUCAGCUUUUAAAAGGCGGCGUAAGCUGUCGCUAUGGGAUGGCCCCGCGGUGCAUUAGCUAGUUGGUAAGGUAAAGGCUUACCAAGGCGAUGAUGCAUAGCCGAGUUGAGAGACUGAUCGGCCACAUUGGGACUUAGACACGGCCCAAACUCCUACGGGAGGCAGCAGCA
rnacentral:rRNA from 1 species